UACGUAGGGUGCAAGCGUUAAUCGGAAUUACUGGGCGUAAAGCGUGCGCAGGCGGUUAUAUAAGACAGUUGUGAAAUCCCCGGGCUCAACCUGGGAACUGCAUCUGUGACUGUAUAGCUAGAGUAGUGUAGGGAGGGUGGAAUUCCGCGUGUAGCAGUGAAAUGCGUAGAUAUGCGGAGGAACACCGAUGGCGAAGGCAAUCCCCUGGACCUGUACUGACGCUCAUGCACGAAAGCGUGGGGAGCAAACAGG
rnacentral:rRNA from 1 species